GCAUAAACAUCAUCAUAGUAUGCUCAAAAGUUGCUAGUUAUUUACCUUAGCGGGAGUAAAUUUGAGAGAAAUGCUAUUAACACAGUGGCGCUCGUCCGUGGGUGUUCCGAAUCCCUCACCUUUGAAGACAUGACCUAGGUGGCCUCCACAAGCUGCGCAAGUGAUCUCCACUCUCCUUCCAUCAGCAUCCGUCGUUCUAUUUAUAGCACCAGGAAGUCCAUCAAAAAAAGCUGGCCAGCCACACCCCGAGUUGAACUUUGUAGUCGACUUGUACAGAGGAGUCCCGCAACCUGCGCACUCGUACACGCCUUCUUCGAAGAACUUGUCAUAUUGGCCAGUUCCUGGGUACUCAGUCCCUUUCUGCCGAAGGAUCCGGAACUGCUCCGGCGAGAGGAUGGCCCUCCACUCCUCCUCCGGCUUCUGCACAGAUCCCGACGACGACAUCGCAGCCACAGAGGUCCUCCUGCUCGGAUGCGCUGACCAACCAAGCCGGAAUCCAGAGAUAGAGUUGGAUGGUGGAAUUGAAUGGGGCCUGUGGGUUGACCGGGAUUUUAUAUGAUUGGCGGAAUUAGCAAGGAGUGGAAUUCGAAUAACGGGGGUUGGGUGG
rnacentral:misc_RNA from 1 species